rnacentral:rRNA from 1 species
AGUGAACGCUGGCGGUAGGCCUAACACAUGCAAGUCGAACGGCAGCACAGUAAGAGCUUGCUCUUACGGGUGGCGAGUGGCGGACGGGUGAGGAAUACAUCGGAAUCUACUUUUUCGUGGGGGAUAACGUAGGGAAACUUACGCUAAUACCGCAUACGACCUACGGGUGAAAGCAGGGGAUCUUCGGACCUUGCGCGAUUGAAUGAGCCGAUGUCGGAUUAGCUAGUUGGCGGGGUAAAGGCCCACCAAGGCGACGAUCCGUAGCUGGUCUGAGAGGAUGAGAACACAAUCGGGAACUGAGCCACAGCCCGGUGCAGUGCGGGAGGAGGAGGGGGGGAAUAGUGAGCAAUGGGGGAAGGCCGGACCCAGCCAUGGCGCGUGGAGGAAGAAGCUUGGCGGUUUGCAAACCUCUUUGAUGGAGAAAGAAAGGCAGCGGGUAAAUACCCCGGUGUUCUGAUGGAACCAAAAGUAGAAGCACCGGAGACCUUGCUGCCAGCAGCCGCGGUAAUACUCGAGGAGAACACCUCUGAAC